AAGACUAUAGACCUGCGGAGUACCUGCGGAGGGAUCAUUAAAAAAGGGUCUUUUGACCCAUUUUUAAAAACCUACUACCAUUCUUACCCAUCGGGUCAGAUGGAAGUGGGUUUUUUUCAAACUCCAAAAUUUUUAAAACCCAAAUAUUAAUAAAAAUAAAACUUUCAACAAUGGAUCUCU
rnacentral:misc_RNA from 1 species